rnacentral:rRNA from 1 species
UGGGGAAUCAUGGUCAAUGGGCGAAAGCCUGAACCUGCGACGCCGCGUGAGUGCUGAAGGUCGUAAGAUCGUAAAACUCUUUUCAGGGAUCUUAAAGCCUGUCUGUCAACAACAGGCAGGUCUGACUCUCGCUGGAAGAAGCCCCAGCCAACUACGUGCCAGCAGCUGCGGUAAUACGUAGGGGGCGAGCGUUAGUCGGAAUUACUGGGUGUAAAGGGUAUGUAGGCGGCCCUUCAAGUCGCGUGUCAAAGUCCAGUGCUCAACGCUGUGUGUGAACGCGAGACUGACGGGCUUGAGGGCUGGGGAGGUGAGCGGAAUUCCCGGUGUAGUGGUAAAAUACGUAGAGAUCGGGAGGAACACCAGCGGCGCAGGCGGCUCACUAGACAGUUUCUGACGCUAAGAUACGAAAGCGUGGGGAGCAAACA